CGGACAUUAGUGGCGGACGGGUGAGUAACGCGUGAGAAUCUAGCUUCAGGUUGGGGACAACAGUUGGAAACGACUGCUAAUACCGAAUAUGCCGAGAGGUGAAAGAUUAAUUGCCUGAAGAAGAGCUCGCGUCUGAUUAGCUAGUUGGUGGGGUAAGAGCUUACCAAGGCGACGAUCGGUAGCUGGUCUGAGAGGACGAUCAGCCACACUGGGACUGAGACACGGCCCAGACUCCUACGGGAGGCAGCAGUGGGGAAUUUUCCGCAAUGGGCGAAAGCCUGACGGAGCAAUACCGCGUGAGGGAAGAAGGCUCUUGGGUUGUAAACCUCUUUUCUUAGGGAAGAAAAAAAUGACGGUACCUAAGGAAUAAGCAUCGGCUAACUCCGUGCCAGCAGCCGCGGUAAUACGGAGGAUGCAAGCGAUAUCCGGAAUGAUUGGGCGUAAAGCGUCCGCAGGUGGUUUAUCAAGUUUGCGGUUAAAGGUUCUGGCUCAACCAGAGACAGGCCGUGAAAACUGAGAGACUAGAGUAUGGUAGGGGCAGAGGGAAUUCCCAGUGUAGCGGUGAAAUGCGUAGAGAUUGGGAAGAA
rnacentral:rRNA from 1 species